AAAGUUGUAAAACGCACUAAUAGCCGAAUCCAGAGUUAUUUCCCUUCCUCCGUUCAUGUAAGUGAGACCCAGAGGGAGGCUGGAACGCAAGCUGUGAUGACGGCGUUGUAUUUCAACAACAAA